ACGAACGCUGGCGGCGUGCUUCACACCUGCAAGUCGAACGGAAAGGCCCCUUUGGGGGUACUCGAGUGGCGAACGGGUGAGUAACACGUGAGUAACCUGCCCUUGACUUCGGGAUAACUUCAGGAAACUGGGGCUAAUACCGGAUAGGAAUCCUUGCUGCAUGGUGGGGGUUGGAAAGCUUCGGCGGUUUUGGAUGGACUCGCGGCUUAUCAGCUUGUUGGUGGGGUAGUGGCUUACCAAGGCUUUGACGGGUAGCCGGCCUGAGAGGGCGACCGGCCACAUUGGGACUGAGAUACGGCCCAGACUCCUACGGGAGGCAGCAGUGGGGAAUAUUGCACAAUGGGCGGAAGCCUGAUGCAGCAACGCCGCGUGCGGGAUGACGGCCUUCGGGUUGUAAACCGCUUUCAGCAGGGGCGAAGCUUGUGGUGACGGUACCUGCAGAAGAAGCACCGGCUAACUACGUG
rnacentral:rRNA from 1 species